rnacentral:lncRNA from 1 species
AUGAGCAAAGCUCGUCGUCUCAAGUCCAAAAAAUUACAGACAGGAAGUUACUGAGACUAAAUGAUGGCAGAUAUGUCCAAGGAAUAUUGUGAGGAUUUGAUCCAUUUAGGAAUUUUGUGAUGUAUGUGUGGAGAUGGCAACUAGUGGACAACACAACAGUACUGGAAUGGUGGUAAUACAGGCAAACAGUAACAUCAUAUUAGAAGUCUAGGAA